rnacentral:rRNA from 1 species
AAUGAACGUUGGCGGCGUGGAUUAGGCAUGCAAGUCGUGCGGCAGCAGGCCCCGCAAGGGGUGCUGGCGAGCGGCGAAAGGGAUAGUAAUGUGUGGAUACCUGCCCUGGGGACGGGGAUAGCUGCUGGAAACGGCAAUUAAUACCCGAUGAUGUCGCCGGACCAAAGGUGUAAUUCCGCCCUAGGAGGGGUCCACAUCCUAUUAGCUAGUUGGUGAGGUAACGGCUCACCAAGGCCACGAUGGGUAGCGGGUGUGAGAGCACGCCCCGCAUCACUGGGACUGAGACACUGCCCAGACAACUACGGGUGGCUGCAGUCGAGGAUCUUCGGCAAUGAGCGAAAGCUUGACCGGGCGACGCCGCGUGCGGGAUGAAGACCUUCGGGUUGUAAACCGCUUUCGGAGGGGAGGAAAUCUAGGGGGGAUCACCCUUCUAGUUGACCUAUCCUAGGAAGAAGGACGGGCUAAGUUCGUGCCAGCCGCCGCGGUAAGAC